GAUCAGAUGCUUCAGUGCUCUGAGAGUGUUUAUAGUGCUGUGAGUUUAACACUUCAUCACUGACACACACAACAAUCUUCAUCAACAUGACCUUCAUCAUCAUCUUCAUCUGGACUCUCACAGUGUUUGCUCAAGAGUGUAGAGGACAGAUCACCGUCACUCAGAGUCCCUCAAUGACAGCAGCUCAACCAGGAGAAACAGUCAAAAUCAACUGUAGAACCAGCAGAGAUGUGUAUAAUUAUUAUGGGACAUACUAUUUCAGCUGGUACUUACAGAAACCUGGAGAAGCUCCUAAACUCCUGAUAUAUGCAACAAGCAGCCGUCAGUCAGGAACUCCAUCUAGAUUCAGUGGCAGUGGAUCUAACAGUGAUUUCACUCUGACCAUCAGUGGAGUCCAGACUGAAGAUGCUGGACAUUAUUACUGUCAGAGUUUCCACUGCAGAACAAAUGGUGUUUAUUGUGCGGGUGAUUAUGUGUUCACACAGUGAU